rnacentral:rRNA from 1 species
GAUGAACGCUAGCGGCAGGCUUAACACAUGCAAGUCGAGGGGCAUCAUAGAUUGCUUGCAAUCAGAUGGCGACCGGCGUACGGGUGCGUAACGCGUAUGGAAUCUACCUUUUACAGGGGUAUAGCCCGGAGAAAUUCGGAUUAAUCCCCCAUAGUAUUGUAUAGUGGCAUCAUUGUAUAAUUAAAGAUUUCGGAUUGGUAAGAGAUGACCAUGCGUCUUAUUAGCUGGUUGGUAUGGUAACGGCAUACCAAGGCAACGAUAAGUAGGGGUUCUGAGAGGGAUAUCCCCCACACUGGUACUGAGACACGGACCAGACUCCUACGGGAGGCAGCAGUGAGGAAUAUUGGACAAUGGGCUAAAGCCUGAUCCAGCCAUGCCGCGUGCAGGAAGACAGCCCUAUGGGUUGUAAACUGCUUUUCUACAGGAAGAAUAAGGAGUAUUAAUACUCUGAUGACGGUACUGUAGGAAUAAGCAUCGGCUAACUCCG